GACGAACGCUGGCGGCGUGCUUAACACAUGCGAGUCGAACGGAAAGGCCCUGCUUUUGUGGGGUGCUCGAGUGGCGAACGGGUGAGUAACACGUGAGUAACCUGCCCUUGACUUUGGGAUAACUUCAGGAAACUGGGGCUAAUACCGGAUAGGAGCUCCUGCUGCAUGGUGGGGGUUGGAAAGUUUCGGCGGUUGGGGAUGGACUCGCGGCUUAUCAGCUUGUUGGUGGGGUAGUGGCUUACCAAGGCUUUGACGGGUUGCCGGCCUGGGAGGGUGACCGGCCACAUUGGGACUGAGAUACGGCCCAGACUCCUACGGGAGGCAGCAGUGGGGAAUAUUGCACAAUGGGCGGAAGCCUGAUGCAGCAACGCCGCGUGCGGGAUGACGGCCUUCGGGUUGUAAACCGCUUUCGCCUGUGACGAAGCGUGAGUGACGGUAAUGGGUAAAGAAGCACCGGCUAACUACGUG
rnacentral:rRNA from 1 species